rfam:Clostridiales bacterium S5-A11 contig054, whole genome shotgun sequence.
ACCUUAUUAAGAGUGGCGGAGUGACUAGGCACUGUGAAGCCCGGCAACCUGAAUUGGUGCUAAAUCCUACAGAGUAAUCUGAAAGAUGAGGU